rnacentral:rRNA from 1 species
UACGAAGGGGGCUAGCGUUGCUCGGAAUCACUGGGCGUAAAGCGCACGUAGGCGGAUUGCUAAGUCAGGGGUGAAAUCCUGGAGCUCAACUCCAGAACUGCCUUUGAUACUGGCGAUCUUGAGUCCGGGAGAGGUGAGUGGAACUGCGAGUGUAGAGGUGAAAUUCGUAGAUAUUCGCAAGAACACCAGUGGCGAAGGCAGCUCACUGGGACGAUACUGACGCUGAGGAGCGAAAGCGUGGGGAGCGAACAGG